UACGUAGGGGGCAAGCGUUGUCCGGAAUCAUUGGGCGUAAAGAGCGUGUAGGCGGUUCGGUAAGUCGGCUGUGAAAGUCCAGGGCUCAACCCUGGGAUGCCGGUCGAUACUGCCGGACUAGAGUUCGGAAGAGGCGAGUGGAAUUCCCGGUGUAGCGGUGAAAUGCGUAGAUAUCUGGAGGAACACCGGGUGGCGAAGGCGGCAUCCUGGACCGGUAUUGACGCUGAGGCGCGAAAGCUAGGGGAGCAAACGGG
rnacentral:rRNA from 1 species